UACGUAGGGCGCAAGCGUUGUCCGGAAUUAUUGGGCGUAAAGAGCUCGUAGGCGGCUUGUCACGUCGGGUGUGAAAGCCCGGGGCUUAACCCCGGGUCUGCAUUCGAUACGGGCAGGCUCGAGUUCGGUAGGGGAGACUGGAAUUCCUGGUGUAGCGGUGAAAUGCGCAGAUAUCAGGAGGAACACCGGUGGCGAAGGCGGGUCUCUGGGCCGAUACUGACGCUGAGGAGCGAAAGCGUGGGGGAGCGAACAGG
rnacentral:rRNA from 1 species